rnacentral:sRNA from 1 species
AUGCAAGGUCAAAUCAUUCAGAGCCUCCUAGACCAUGUGAACACAUGUAUUAUGCUGUGGAGAUACUGUUUAAUAGGCAGUCUGCUUUUUUUUAUGCAGUACCAAAUAUGCCCCAACAGCGGCAAGACCAGCAUCAUCAGAGUGCCAUGAUGCACCCAGCGUCAGCAGCGGGCCCACCGAUUGCAGCCACCCCACCAGCUUACUCCACGCAAUAUGUUGCCUACAGUCCUCAGCAGUUCCCAAAUCAGCCCCUUGUUCAGCAUGUGCCACAUUAUCAGUCUCAGCAUCCUCAUGUCUAUAGUCCUGUAAUACAGGGUAAUGCUAGAAUGAUGGCACCACCAACACAUGCCCAGCCUGGUUUAGUAUCUUCUUCAGCAACUCAGUACGGGGCUCAUGAGCAGACGCAUGCGAUGUAUGUUUCCACGGGCUCCCUUGCUCAGCAGUAUGCGCACCCUAAUGCUACCCUGCACCCACAUACUCCACACCCUCAGCCUUCAGCUACCCCCACUGGACAGCAGCAAAGCCAACAUGGUGGAAGUCAUCCUGCACCCAGUCCUGUUCAGCACCAUCAGCACCAGGCUGCCCAGGCUCUCCAUCUGGCCAGUCCACAGCAGCAGUCAGCCAUUUACCACGCGGGGCUUGCGCCAACUCCACCCUCCAUGACACCUGCCUCCAACACGCAGUCGCCACAGAAUAGUUUCCCAGCAGCACAACAGACCGUCUUUACGAUCCAUCCUUCUCACGUUCAGCCGGCGUAUACCAACCCACCCCACAUGGCCCACGUACCUCAGGUAAACCAGCUUUAGCCAACUUUCUGUGAAGGCCAAGUAGAAUGUGAAUGUUAUCAGUAAGCAGCUAGAGGCUCUCCCAGCUAGGAAACCCUGUGUGUCAUGCCAUUUGCCUGUCUCCCUUUCCCUCUCAAAUACACGUGAUCUGGCCCUAAGGGAAUGUUUGUGUGGUUUUGUCAUGGGAUCAGUGAAGGUGCUGAUUGGUCAGGCCUUUAGUUUUCCAACUGAGACCUUAAAAAUAUCUUUGACUCUGGAAUGCAACUCAGUCCUUCUUUCCUUUCUGUGUCUGCUUUGCUACGUCUAUAUAGCCUCACUACUAUAUAUAUGUGUACAUAUAUAUCCCCCUACACACUUACCUUGGAAGCCAGGCAGGGAUGAUGGCCUUCACAGAGUUUCAGCUCUCUGAGGUGACUACCGGGGCCUGUCAACUUGAUUGUUACUCACAUGAGUUCCAGACACAUCUUUCCAAUUGUUUUCCCUGGUUAUCCAUAUAUCUGCUUUGACCAUAAGUUGUACUCUUGAGAGGGCUUGGCCUUGGACAUUGGUGCAGUGUAACUAGAAGCUGGAAGCACCCAGGUGGUCCCAUUUUUCUUUAAGAGCAGCCCUGGAAGCACUUUGGAGCUCACCUCCAGUGUAAGCUGCUACAGGUGAAAGGUGUGCUUGCCAUCUCAGUGGUUGCUGUCUGCAUCAGCUGCUGACAAAGGUCCCUGCACUCCAGGGCCCAGGGGAUUGUCUUAAUGAGGAGAAGGAGCUGCACUGAAGUUGGGCUCUAACGCUGGCCUUGAGGCCCUCCCUGGGGCUGUUACGGGUGAAUUGGCUGUAUUAGAUGUCUCUGCUACUUUCAUAACAGAACUCUCUGAGGCGGGUCUAAGUGAGACCUGCCACAAUGAAUUCCAUUUCCUGUUAAAUAGUGCGCCAGUGAGGCUCUGGCAAGGUGUGGGCUAGAGAUGCGACUCAGUUGGAUCUAUCUCUCAGAAGGCUACCUUGUAAGUAGAGUUCCACAGCUCUGGGAAGUUUGGGCGUCCUCACCCUGCAAAGUUUAGGUUCUGUGGUGUAGCGCACUGCAGUUGAUUUGCUUUUUGAUAGUGGGGAGGGAAGCCGGUUUGGUCCAUGUGGGCCAGCGUGGUUUGGUGGAGUCAGCUUCGUAAGAGCUGGGGUCCUGUAGGUGUCUAGCAGAGGCUGGUGGCUAAGUAGGCAUGUGAACUUACAUGUAAGUCAGGGAUCCCUAAAACCUCACUCAGUUUUUGUGCUGAAAGGGCAAAAAGGUUAACACAGGGAAGCUCAAAUAUGCCAUGUGCCCAUUUGAAUAUGUGAGAGUAAAAACGGCAUUUCUUCCAAGACUUAUCAUAGUCUAGAACAGUGCACAGUGUGGGAAAAAGGAAACAAGGGCUCUUCCUGGCCCUGCCAACCCCCUGCAGCACUGGAAUCUGGCUGUUUGGGCUGACCAAAAUCACCUUUCCAACUUGACAGUGAGUGAGACCAGGUUGAACUUGGUACAGAGACACUGGGCUGGCCCAGAUGACUUCAGGUUAUUCCUUUCCAUCUCACUGGAGCCAUUAAGAACUCCAACUCGUCCUCCUCCUCCUGCUCCAUCAGCGUAUCUCUGAGAGAGUCACAGGGGCCUAAGAGUCUCUUUUCACUGCCUGGUGAGCAGACCAGAAGCAGAGGGAGAGAGGUAAAUGAACAGAGGUCCACGUAAUUCACAUACUGGACUGUGACAGUCUCUGCUUAUUAAUGUAGUAAUCUGCUUUCCUAUUUGAAAGGGAUGUUAUCUGCAAAACUACCUCAGGCCCCACAUGGCAGCCUGAUUCUGAAGCAUCAUUGAAUCUUGUAUGAUAUUAAGUUGAGAAAGCUGCCCUUGGAUCCAGUGUCUAAUCUUUGUGAAGAUCUUACCCCAUACGUAGAAUACAAUGAUCAGAAAUGUCAAGGGUUAGGACAGCACAGCCCUGACUUCUAUCCAGGCUCAGUUGGUGCCUGCUCCCUGACCCUUGCAGGAUCUGCCCAAAGGUGAAGCGCGUCUUCAGGUCAAUAGAUAAUCUACUAGAGAUUGUCCCCAGAGAACAGAACUGGGCCCUGAGGCCCACCGUUGCCCUUUCCUGAGAGUCCCAGCCCAGUGAAAGGAACACAGUUGACAUGUUGUUGAAGCCGGAGAUGUUGCCUGUAUGCGUAAAAGAGCUCUCUGUUUCAGGCUCAUGUACAGUCAGGAAUGGUUCCUUCUCAUCCAACUGCCCAUGCGCCAAUGAUGCUAAUGACGACACAGCCACCCGGCGGUCCCCAGGCCGCCCUCGCUCAAAGUGCACUACAGCCCAUUCCAGUCUCGACAACAGCGCAUUUCCCCUAUAUGACGCACCCUUCAGGUGAGGCGUGUGUGUGCAGGGGCCGCCGGGGCACCCCAAAGCAUUCUGCUCGCACAGGUGGAAUGGCAGGCAGGGCCAGUGCUUCAAGCCCCGCAUUUGAGAACUAGCAAGACCCGUCCAGGAGUGUGCACAGGAGGGACUGUGACAAUCAGUUCAGCAUCAGGGCCUGAGGCUUCCGGGAGCCGAGUCUGUGUGUGUUCUGAUGGUAUACAGGAUUUGGCUUGAUGAGAAGCAGCAGCAGCAUUCUGUGUAGCUGAUGCAUACCUAGGACUCAGUUGGCCUUCCUUGUUAUGAUAGGCUGGACAGGGCAGUGUUUUCCUUCCUGAGUCCCAAAAGUCUGACAUGUGGGGGGUUAUUACCAUGGCAGAGUUUGAUUGUAGCUCUGGAGAAGAUACUGCUGAGAAAGUGCUGUGGAUGGACUGGCUUUGAGUGUAGCGUUAGCCCCAGCCCCUGACCAGGGGAGAGCGCCCUGUGAUUGUGCUCUACUACUUGAUGGCUGCCAUGGCGAUACUUCACAGUCUGACCUGUUAUUCUGAAAGCAAUACUGGUGCUUGGCUAAUAUUUGGGGAGGGGGUUUGUUAAGGCCUUUUUUUCUACCCCAUGAACAAGUCUUCUGGGAGUUUUAUCUGAAGUGGUUUUACGUCUGACUGGUUUGUUUCUACCCACCCACCCAACCCUCCCCACUUUGGUGCAGAUGGGAGGGGGAAAAGUGAAUUCAAUUUUGAGUUUUGUUCAGCUAGCACGAGGAUAGUUUACAAUCAUGUGCUGCAGAGACACUAGGCUGAUGUGUGGUGUUGCCAGUUUUCUGUUUCAAUGUUCGCUUUUCUUUUUACAGUACAAGCCCACCACCAACAGCAGUUGUAAGGCUGCCCUGGAGGAACCGAAAGGCCAAAUUCCCUCCUCCCUUCUACUGCUUCUACCAACUGGAAGCACAGAAAACUAGAAUUUCAUUUAUUUUGUUUUUAAAAUAUAUAUGUUGAUUUCUUGUAACAUCCAAUAGGAAUGCUAACAGUUCACUUGCAGUGGAAGAUACUUGGACCGAGUAGAGGCAUUUAGGAACUUGGGGGCUAUUCCAUAAUUCCAUACGCUGUUUAAGAGUCCCACAGGUACCCCAGCUCUGCUUGCCGAAACUGGAAGUUAUUUAUUUUUUAAUAACCCUUGAAAGUCAUGAACACAUCAGCUAGCAAAAGAAGUAACAAGAGUGAUUCUUGCUGCUAUUACUGCU